AAGUCGUAACAAGGUCUCCGUUGGUGAACCAGCGGAGGGAUCAUUACUGAGUUCCGAACUCUCCAACCCGUGUGAAUCAUACCAGUCGUUGCUUCGGCGGAAGCCGCGCCCCCCGGCAACGGGGGCGCCCGGCCGCCGCCGGAGGCACCACAACUCUCCUGUCUCGCCCCCCGGGCGGCAUCUCUCUGAGUACCACAAGCAAACAAAUGAAUCAAAACUUUCAACAACGGAUCUCUUGGUUCUG
rnacentral:misc_RNA from 1 species